AGCGAACGCUGGCGGCAGGCCUAACACAUGCAAGUCGAACGAACUCUUCGGAGUUAGUGGCGGACGGGUGAGUAACACGUGGGAACGUGCCUUUUGGUUCGGAAUAACUCAGGGAAACUUGUGCUAAUACCGAAUGUGCCCUUCGGGGGAAAGAUUUAUCGCCAUUAGAUCGGCCCGCGUCUGAUUAGCUAGUUGGUGAGGUAACGGCUCACCAAGGCGACGAUCAGUAGCUGGUCUGAGAGGAUGACCAGCCACACUGGGACUGAGACACGGCCCAGACUCCUACGGGAGGCAGCAGUGGGGAAUCUUGCGCAAUGGGCGAAAGCCUGACGCAGCCAUGCCGCGUGAAUGAUGAAGGUCUUAGGAUUGUAAAAUUCUUUCACCGGGGACGAUAAUGACGGUACCCGGAGAAGAAGCCCCGGCUAACUUCGUG
rnacentral:rRNA from 1 species